UACGUAGGGUCCGAGCGUUGUCCGGAAUUACUGGGCGUAAAGAGCUCGUAGGUGGUUUGUCGCGUUGUUCGUGAAAACUCACAGCUCAACUGUGGGCGUGCGGGCGAUACGGGCAGACUAGAGUACUGCAGGGAGAGACGUGAAUUCCUGGUGUAGCGGUGGAAUGCGCAGAUAUCAGGAGGAACACCGGGUGGCGAAGGCGGAUCUCUGGG
rnacentral:rRNA from 1 species